rnacentral:rRNA from 1 species
AAUCUUGCGUAACGGGCGAAAGCCUGACGCAGCCAUGCCGCGUGAAUGAUGCAGGUCUUUGGAUUGUAAAACUCUAUCACCGGGGCCGACAAUGCCGGUUCUCGGAGAAGAAGCCCAUGCCAACUUCGUUCCAGCAGCCGCGGUAAUACGAAGGGGGCUAGCGUUGCUCGGAAUUACUGGGCGUAAAGGGCGCGUAGGCGGACAUUUAAGUCAGAGGUGAAAUCCCAGAGCUCAACUCGGGAACUGCCUUUGAAACUGGGUGUCUUGAGUGUGGGAGAGGUAUGUGGAACUCCGAGUGUAGAGGUGAAAUUCGUAGAUAUUCGGAAGAACACCAGUGGCGAAGGCGACAUACUGGCUCAUUACUGACGCUGAGGCGCGAAAGCGUGGGGAGCAAACA